rnacentral:rRNA from 1 species
CCUACGGGCGGCUGCAGUGGGGAAUAUUGGACAAUGGGGGGAACCCUGAUCCAGCCAUGCCGCGUGUGUGAAGAAGGCCCUCGGGUUGUAAAGCACUUUCAGUGAGGAAGAACGCCUGGUGGUUAAUACCCAUCAGGAAAGACAUCACUCACAGAAGAAGCACCGGCUAACUCUGUGCCAGCAGCCGCGGUAAUACGGAGGGUGCGAGCGUUAAUCGGAAUUACUGGGCGUAAAGCGCGCGUAGGUGGCUUGAUAAGCCGGUUGUGAAAGCCCCGGGCUCAACCUGGGAACGGCAUCCGGAACUGUCAAGCUAGAGUGCAGGAGAGGAAGGUAGAAUUCCCGGUGUAGCGGUGAAAUGCGUAGAGAUCGGGAGGAAUACCAGUGGCGAAGGCGGCCUUCUGGACUGACACUGACACUGAGGUGCGAAAGCGUGGGUAGCAAACAGGAUUAGAUACCCCUGUAGUC